rnacentral:lncRNA from 1 species
CGGUCACAGUGACCGCCACCGUUGCCAAGGGAUGGGUCCCUGAGACUUGGCGAAGUGGGAGCCCUGUGUGAUCGUGCGUCAGAGUCGGGGCUGAGACCAGCCCCGGCCAGGGUAGUUACCGGGACGGUCUCCGGAGGCCGGGAUUCGCGGAGGGUCCACCAGCAGGAAGAAACCCCAGGAGGAAGAAACCUCAGACAGAUCGCCGGGGAGGCAGCGCGGGAUCCCAGCCUCAGGCGUGCGCGGACGGUGUGCGGGUCCAGCUAUGCAUCACCCCUUCGCUGAUGAGCCUUAAGAAAAUCCAAAUUUAUAAAUUGCUGGGUCCAUCUCUCUUUCCAUCCAGAAAAGUCAGAGCAACUGGUCUUGCUGGUUUUAAGUGUUGCCUGUGUUUCUGGCAUUGGCCUGGAAGUGGAAAUACUGUGACAUAAAAUAGAGGCA